rnacentral:SRP_RNA from 1 species
UUUAGGGCACCGGUUAACAGGUUAAUACCCAACCCCGUCAGGUCCGGAAGGAAGCAGCGGUCAGUAUAUAAUUUGUGUAACUGUGUGCCUCUUUUUU